rnacentral:lncRNA from 1 species
GGGAGACAACUAUGUUACCUCACAGGACUACGAAGUUAGGGAAUGAAACCUGAAAAAUAUGAAGACGAUAAAACAAAGCAAGUUAGGUCGUACCACAUAAAUGCAUAAAUAGGAAGGAAAACAAAAGUUUGGGAGACGUAUCGUUCUCUUGACCGAGUAGACACACUAGCAUAUAAUGGAAAACCAAAUGACCAACAUAAGAUGCAGACAUAAAGGUAAAUUAAGGGAAUGGGAAACUCUCAAAGGAUGUAAGUUCACUAUCGUAGUCGAACUUCUUUUUUGUAUUCAUGUAGAAGAUAAAGUAUGCAAAUAAAUAGGACACACGCAAUAUGGACAAAUACGACCUUAUUUCCUAAGUAUGGAUGUAAGAAGAUGCAAUGACAAACGUGUAUGGAAAAGUAGAAAAGAACUAGAAGAAAUAAAGUUUUCUUAACAAGGCAGAGAAUGUGAAAUUGCAUUGAAUGGAGGCAGUAGCAUUUUUUAUAUAAAGAACCAACAUCUUUCUAAAGUAAAGUAUAAAAAAAAUCAUGAUGAACAUUACGGAAGCAAGAAAGAAAAGAAAAAAUGUGUGAUCAAUUUCUUUUAAAAAAAUACCAACACAGAACAGUAGGCAAAGUAAGAAUGCUGCAAAGGAAUAAUGGUGGGCAUACCAACGAAAAAACAAAAGUACAAAAAUGAAGAACAAGUGAGGAUGAAAUUCAACCUAUUUGGACUAACAAUUUAUAAUGCAGGAAAGACGGCAAUUAAUGAUGGACAACAAGAUUUUCAUCAUUAAAGAACCAACAAAAUCCCAAAAAAAUGAAAGGAACUCAAAAGACAGGUGAAAUUGACUUCAUUAAAGCUAUAUAAAAUUAACAGUUUCACUAUGAAUGUAAGUGUAAAAAAUAAAUGAACAUAUAGGAUGAAUUAACAGGGACAUGCAAAAUAUGCAAAUAAUCAGUCAUCUGAAACAAUUUGAACACACAAAAAAAGAUAAUAGGAAUACAAAAUAAACGUAGAUAACUAAAUGCUAUAAAAGCCUCACAUAGAAAAUGGGCUAUAAAUAACACAUAAUAUAUAUAUAAAAAGGACAAAAUUAUCGAGAUGGGAAUUUCAGAAGGGGGCCUCAUCAUCGGCUUAUAUGAGAAUUGUACAAAUAGGAGAUAAGACUGGCCACCCUGUCGUGCUCCAUUGUUGCCCCUAUUGAACUCACGUGUACUUGUUCGGUGAGAAAUAGAUCGGUGUAGGUUCUUGUCACACCACAAACCACACAGCGACCAAAACGUUGAAGUUGUGAGAAUAGGAUGUGAGUUAGUUACAACCUUGAAAUUUUCUUAUCGAAAAUCUUAUUCUCAACUCCUUUUAAAUUAUUAACAACACUCAAAAUGCAGCCCUGGUCAAUGUAACGCCAAGCAAAAUAAGUACAAACCAAAACGUAUACUUUAUUAAUAACAUGCGUUUCACACAUUAUAUUACAAUACUUGGACUAAAUAACCAAUGUUUAACCAUUUUCAAAACGUCUUUAAUCACCUCGUUGGAAAUCCUUCAACCUUCUUCUCUACUUGACCUAAACGUCUAAUACUAGAAUAUAGAUUUUUAAAACGUAAGUCUAAAAGACUUAGUGAGGGUUUAUGAAAAUCUUUCGCAAUACCUUUUCAUAAUCGUUUCUCAAAAAUAAUAUCAAAUCAUUUAAACAUACCGACAAAUCAUUUCAUUUCACAUAAACCUUUAUUUAUGCUUAAUAAAUCAUUUAAUUUCACCAACGAUCCUGAAUCGCUAUCUACGCUUGGUCUCAUUACCUCGUGUUUAUACUAUUAUAGCAACAACAUCCGAGAACAUACAGAUUCAUCCUUGUUGCUUAAACCACUAAGCUUUAUACACUCCUUUCAACGAAUAAGCUAACUUCCCAAUGGUGGCUUAACUAUUUAUGUGCACGUAAAAGUUAGUAUCAUCUAAAAAAAAAAAAAUAUAGUAUUGGGAUAGGCUUUCCUUCUUUAGCCUCUUAUUAGUUUAUUAGUUUCGCGGGAGAGAGAGAGGGGCGAAGAGACUCGACCGUAGGGAGAGGGGCGAAGAGACUCGACCAUCAGGUUGUGGUAUAUGGCUCCGCUCCUUGAACGGAGCUUCCGUUUGCUAGAGUUGCUAGAGAGCCCUUCCUCUUUCUCUUCUGCUCAACUGCUCAAGAAUUUUCUCUCAUCAGAUAUAAGUCGAUAAGAAAGCGCUCAAGGUGAAUCCCACGGAGCGGGAAAGGAGAGUGAGGGGAAGAGGGGGCUGCCCUCGGCCCGAUCAUCCUAUUCGCUCCAACAGACAGGCAUGGUUCUGUAGUCAAAGCUACUUCGUCACUUUCGUGUACCCAUCGGACGGCUUUCUGCUUCUGAAAAAAUUGGGAAUUCCCUUGCUCCCUCAACUGGAAGAACCGACAGCUACUUCUUGUCGAGCUACUUUGUUCCGCUCUCAAUUCACAAAGUUCCUUGGAAAACAUGGAGAUGCUUCUGGUAGAUCGUUAAAACCGAUCGCCAAGAAGAGCAUCUUUUACUCAUUUCCUUAUUCACUGGCUUCUAUUUUGAUGACGUAGAUGCCAAGCUAAGAUAGCUAAGUAUAAGGGAAAGCAAGAAGUUCGCAGAAGAUAUCCUUGUCUCAGAAUCAAACCUAGUCUCAGUGCUUCCUUGGAACGGGCUGUGCCUAAGAAGAUCAAUAUCUUCCACUCUUCUGAUCUUUCUCUUAGAAGAUAGAGGAAGAGGAAAGCCUAUGGAAUACUCUGGAAAUCAGAUAAAAACCGAGUUGAGAUAGAGUGGAAGAGCAGAGGAAGCGUCACCGGCUGGCUGAGUAAGCAAGAUCCGUUGCUACAGCUACAGAGGAUUCUAUAUCUCCUUUGUUAGUAGGAAAUAAGGCAUUACCAGCAUAGAAUGAAUUUCUCAUCCUUUCUUUAUUAGUCCCACUUUGCAUAUGCCUUAGUUCUCGGGAAUCUAAUAGAAUUGGAUAUUAUUGAGUUCACGAUUACCGGCCGGCUCCGGACCGCGAAGACCUGACUCCGUAAUCCUUUAUCUCAGAUCUUUGAUGCUAACGGGGCAUAGUGAUUGCUUUCCCGCUAGUCCUGGGGGAUUGAACCCCUCAGUAGGAAGAGGUUGAGGAGGAUAGAAUAGGCUGUGAUGCCAGAAGAAGGUCUUGAGAGAUCCUUUGAAUACGACCAGGGGGAUAGACCUUUCUUUUUAGUUCUUUGCUUUCUUGCAUUGAGCCUGAUUUUUGUUCAUCUACGAAAGAAAGAGAAAGAAAGAAAGAGAAUAAUAUCCUCAACUGGAAGAAGAAAAUCGACUUCUUCUUCUUGCAACUGCUGAAAGCGAAUUCCCCUCUAUUAUAUUCUGGACUCCUUCCCCUUUUCUAUCUCCUGAAAGAACUCAGUCG